GGCCCUUUAGCUCAGUUGGUUAGAGCACGCGACUCAUAAUCGCUUGGUCGCUGGUUCAAGUCCAGCAAGGGCCACCA
rnacentral:tRNA from 21 species